UACAGAGACGUCGAGCGUUGUUCGGAUUCAUUGGGCGUAAAGGGUGCGUAGGCGGUCGGGUAAGUCGGUUGUGAAAUCCCAAAGCUCAACUUUGGAAGUGCGACCGAAACUACUCGGCUUGAGGACUGGAGGGGGGACUGGAAUUCUCGGUGUAGCGGUGAAAUGCGUGGAUAUCGAGAGGAACACCUGUGGCGAAGGCGGGUCCCUAGACAGUUCCUGACGCUGAGGCACGAAAGCUAGGGUAGCAAACGGG
rnacentral:rRNA from 1 species